GCGCCGCUUUUCGCGUCACAGUGGUUCCCACGGUUGUCUUAGGAACCAGUCCUCGAGGCUUGGCAACGCGGGAGCCCUCCGUGGCAGCGCUUGGGUGUCGGGCCUCCGAGGCUCCGGCCUGACCUCUCCAGGGGGUCCACAGGAACGUCUCCGGCUGCCAGGAGUCGCAAGGGGCCGAGCAGGGUGACGAAACCACAGGUGGAGUCCGGGGGAAGCAGCGUGGCAUCCCAGCCUCAGGCCUGCCAGGACGGUGUUCGGGAUCAAGAAGACCACACUCCAGCCCAGGACAAAAGCCCCACGGUAGCACAUAGUCCAGCAGGAGAGGAGCAGACCCAUGUCCAAGAAGAUGGUUGUACCUUUCCACGCCUCUUCUCUGUGAAAUGAAGCCACACAACGACACAAUCUUGAAGAGGAAGCCGUGAAUGGAGACAGCAACAAUCCGUGUCCCUGAAACGCUGGCCUCUCUGGACAAGCCAUGCAUUUCGCACCCCUCCUGUUAUGCCCGUGUAGGUGCCACGGCCCUGUAUCCUACCUGGGCUCUGGCCUCCGCUCUGUCCUCCCUCUUGCUCUGUCUCCCCUGUUUCUGAGCGGCCUAGUUGCCUCUUGGCCUGGCUGAAUAUCUUCUACGAAGAUCACUUCCCAGUCCGUCAGGGAGACUCUUCCUGGAGAUCCGUGUCAUGACUGUUUCUCUCUCCAAACCUGUUUCUGCUGGGUUGGUUAGGUCUGGUGACCCUGGAGCUCUUGGCUUCCAUACAUGUCUCAGCCACGGAAGCUUCCUCGGUCUCCAUGUUUCACCUCAUGUGUGGGUGGAUUGUCUAGAAUUAGUUGUAGGCGACAGUGACUGGUCUUGUCUUCUAGGACAGGAGAGGUGCCGCAUUUCUUUUGCACUUCCUGUCUCAUUCUUUAGGGACAUGCUCUUCUCUGUUCCUGGGUGUACUGAGUCCCUGAAUCUUUUGGCCCCCUCCUGCAUCCCAGGUGUUCUUUGAUUUUCCUUCGCAUUGAUGGAAAGUUCACUUGUGCCCCGCUUCCGCCGGCCACAUGCCUGGACACCAUUUUUUGUUUCACCAUCGCCCCAUACGCCCUCGGUGACUCACAUUUACGCCAUCUGCUCUGCGGUACGCCGUGCCACGUAUGGUCUCAUUGGCUCCACCUCGGAAUUUCCCCUGUCCCUCUGUUCACGUGUCCUGGAAAGUGGUAUCAGCUUUGAAGUGCCCCAGGGCUUUUCUUUUUUCAAAGGAGAAGGGAGGCAGAGGGCUCUUGGGUCAGUGAAUUUUCAGCUGACACCUCGCCUUGGGGCCCAUGGGAUCAUUCUGGGAUGCAGCAAGGCCCUGCCUGCCUAGCAGAUAUGGUGAGCCCAUCCUUUCUCACCCGGAGGGGUCCAAAGUCAAAUCUCAAGAGGAGUCCUGGGACCCCAGCAGGCGCCCAGAAGCUCCACCUCCACCCCGGAAGUCGGCUUAAGGAGGUCUUGAAGACCGCACUCCUGGGGGUUUGGCCUUGGGAUGCCUGUGGCGUCCUCUCCCACACUGCCCCCUGCUGGACCCCUGAUCCAGCCGCCGCCAGGGCUGCAACGCAAGCCGCCCUUCCUCCGCGUAGCCACUAUUGUUUAAAGGGGUCGCAGCCUGACUGCCAGGAGCGGAGUGCGACUCGGCCCCUCCAAUGCGCAUGCGCAAGGCCCUAGCGCAUGCUCCACUCGCAGUUAUUCCCACGGUUGCCUUAGAAACCCGUCCCUGAGGCUUGGCAAAGCAGGAGCCCUCAGUGGCAGUGCUUGGGUGUCGGGGCUCCGAGGCUCCGGCCUGACCUCUCCAUGGGGUCGACAGGAACAUCUCUGGCUGCCAGGAGUCGCAAAGGGCCGACCAGGAUGACGAAACCACAGGCGAAGUCCAGGGGAAGCGGCAUGGCAUGCCAGCCUCAGGCCUGCCCGGACGGUGUUCGGGGGUGGAGCCAACCAAAGUCAAAGAAGAUUGUUGUAUCUUUUCACAGCUCUUCUCUGAGAACGAAGCCACACAACGAUACAAUCUUGAAGAAGAAGCUAGGAAUGGGAGAUGACAACAAUCCCUGUCACUGGAACACUGGCCUCUCUGGGCAAGUCACCAGUUUGGCACCCCUCCCCUUAUGCCUGUACCGAUGGCAUGGUGCUAUAUCCUGCCUGGGCUCUGGCCUCUGCUCUGUCCUCCCUCUUGCUCUGUCUCCCCUGUUUCUGAGGGGUCUUGAUGUUUCUUGGUCUGUCUGAAUGUCUUCAACAAAGACCACUUCCCAGUCCUCCAGGGCGACACUUCCUAGAGAUCCGUGUCAUGAUUGUUUCUCCCUCCAAACCUGUUUCUGCUUGAUUAGCCAGGGUUGAUGAUCCUGGGGUUCUUGGCUUCCAUACGUGUCUCAGACAGGGAAGCUAGCUUGGUCUCCAUGUUUCACCUCAUGGGUGAGUGGAUUGCCUAGAAUGAGCAGUAGGUGACUGUGACUGGCCUUGUCUUCUAGGGCAGGCACAUGUCGCAUUUCCUCUGCACUUCCUGUCUCAUUCUUGAGAAACAUGCUCCCCUCUGCUCAUGGGUGGACUGACUCCUUGAAUCUUUUGGCUGUAGUGAAAGUCAGGGAUCCAAUGGGACUGGGCUGGGGCUGGAGCUGGAUGCAGGGGAGGUUCCGUCAGGGCUACUUGGGCAUUGGAGGAUUGGGGGUGGAUUGAACUUUGCAUAAACCUCUUUACUCCUCCAGCAGGCUUUUCAAAAUGUGGCUUGGACUCAUGCAAUAAGAAAUUUAUGGGUUGAAAGGGCCCCUUUUUCAAUGGCACUCUGGGUAACAUCGCUUCAGCACAAUCAUAUGAUAGAGAAGCCUUAUCAAAUUUGCUGUCCCUCAGGGCUCUUAAAGAUGCUUGAUAAAUGAUUAGGGAAAUAAGAAAAAAAUUGAAAGGAAAAGGAAGUCCAAGGACCUGCCCCAGAAGAAUCAUAGAUAUGUUUGAAUACUUAUUCAUUAUUUGCCCAAGAUAGAAAAUGUUUGUUAAUCAAAAGGCAAAAGUUAUAAUGAGGAAGAUAAUAUUGCCUGGGGCAAUGUUGAGACAAAUAAGGUGAAGAUCAACCAAACGCCCUGAGUCCUUUGGCCCAAAUCCCUGCUGGGGACCCAAAUACUUUUGAUAUAGCAUCUUGCUACCUGAGGAAUGCAAGGAGAAUAAUACUCAUAAGCAGAGCCUCUGUUUUCCCAUAGGACUGACUCUAACUAUGUGAAGAACUGCUACAUAUUCUACAGUGCUUGAUAGGCGGUGCCAAUCUAACAGGAGCUGUUUGGCUUGUGGAUAGCAGUUCCAGGAUGAACAAAUGAUAUUGUGUUUGAAAGCCACUGCUCUUAUUAAAGAAGAGUCAAGCAAAUGUUUUUAUUUUGAGUUAUUUAUAGUUUAGAAAAAUUGGGUGAAGUGUGUUUUUGUGAGCAAAUUUAUUUUUCUCUAGGUUAUCCGUAAUUUGAAAGCUGUGAGUAUUCUGAUUAGGUGACAAUAUAGUUAUUUGCUUAAGUACAUCUUUUAUUGUAAAAUGGGACAAAUGGAGACACUGGUUAUUUUACCCAGGCUUUGACUAGAAUAACUUAAUUUUAGGUAAAUCCCAACAAACCCAACUUAAGAGGAGUCUAUAUGACCAAUUAAUUGUUUCUGCACUUUAAGCAAAUACUCAGGAAGUACUAGUCCCUUCUCACACUGCUAUAAAGAUAUUACCUGAGACUGGGUAAUUUAUAAACAAAAGAGGUUUAACUGACAGUUCUGCGUAGCCAGGGAGGCCUCAGAAAACUUACAGUUAUGAUAGAAAGGAAAGUAGGCUCCUUCUUUACAAUGUGGCAGGAGAGACUGUGUGUGUGUGUGUGUGUGUAAAGGAUAAAAUGUCAAACACUUAUACAAUCAUCAGAUUUCAUAACUCACUAUCAUGAAAACAGCAUGGGUGAAACAACUCCCAUGAUACAAUCACCUCCCACCAGGAGGGAUGACAAUUUGAAAUGAGAUUUGGGUGAGGACACAGAGUCAAGCCAUAUCACAAGCCAACCAUAAUAAGCCUAAAACUUAUUUUUCACACAAAUUGUUCUCACUAUGACUUCUCUUAGAGAUUGUUUCAAGGGAAAAGGGUAAUGCUUGUUACUAAAUGUCAGCUCUGGUUUUUAUUUUAUUGAGUACAAAUUGAAUCAUAAAAUUUUUCUAUUUUAUUUUAUUUUCCUUUAAGUUCCAGGAUACAUGUGCAGAAUGUGCAGGUUUGUUAAGUAGGUAUAUACGUGUCAUGGUAGUUUGCUAUACCUAUUGACCCAUCCUUUAAGUUCCCUCCCCUCACCCCUCACCCCCCAACAGGCCCUGGUGUAUGCUUUUCUGCUCCCUGUGUCCAUGUGUUCUCAUUGUUCAACUUCCACUUAUGAGUGAGAACAUGUGGUGUUUGGUUUUCUGUUCCUGUUUUAGUUUGCUAAGGAUGAUGGCUUCCAGCUUCAUCAAUGUCCCUGCAAAGGGCAUGAUCUCAUUCCCUUUAUGGCUGCAUAGUAUUCCAUGAUGUAUAUGUACUACAUUUUGUUUAUCCAGUCUAUCCUUGAUGGGCAUUUGGACUAGUUCCAUGACUUUGCUAUUGUAAAUAGUGCUGCAAUAAACAUAUGUGUGCAUGUGUCUUUAUAGUAGAAUAAUUUAUAUUAUUUUGGGUAUAUAUCCAGUAAUGGGGUUGCUGGGUCAAAUGGUAUUUCUGGUUUUAGAUCCUUGAGGAAUCAUCAUACUGUCUUCCACAAUGGUUGAACUAAUUUACAUGCCCACCAACAGUGUAAAAGCAUUCCUAUUUCUCCACAGCCUGGUCAGCUUCUACUGUUUCUUGAUUUUUUAAUAACUGCCAUCCGACUGGUGUUAGAUGGUAUCUCAUUGUAGUUUUGAUUUGCAUUUCUCAAAUAAUCAGUGAUGUUGAACUUUUUUUAUAUGUUUGUUGGCCAUGUAAAUAUCUUCUUUGGAGAAGUGUCUGUUCAUGUUCUUUGCCCCAUUUUUUGGUUGGGUUAUUUGUUUUUUUCUUGUGAAUUUGUUUAAUUUCCUUGUAAAUUCUGGCUAUUAGACCUUUGUCAGAUGGGUAGAUUGCAAAAUUUUUCUCCCAUUCUGUUGUUUGCCUAUUCACUCUGAUGAUAGUUUCUUUUGCUGUGCAGAAGCUCUUUAGUUUACUUAGAUCUCAUUUGUCAAUCUUGGCUUCUGUUGCAGUUGCUUUUGGCAUUUUUGUCAUGAAGUCUUUGCUCAUGCCUAUGUCCUGAAUGGUAUUGCCCAGGUUUUCUUCUAGUGUUUUUAUGGUUUGGGGCUUGACAUUUAAGUCUUAUGUUUAAGGUUUAAAGUCUUAAGUUUAAGGUUUAAGGAAGGGUUCCAGUUUCAAUUUUCUGCAUAUGGCUAGUGAAUUUUCCCAGCUCUAUUUAUUGAGUAGGAGAUUCUUUCUUCAUUGCUUCUUUUCGUCAGGUUUGUUGAAGAUCAUAUGGAUGUAGAUGUGUGGUUUUAUUUCUGAGGUCUUUGUUCUGUUUCAUUAGUCUAUAUGUCUGUUUUGGUACAAGUACCAUGCUGUGUUAGUUAGUGUAGCCUUGUAGUAUAGUUUGAAGUAGUGUGAUGCCUCCAACUUUGUUCUUUUUGCUAUUCCAAACAAUUGGAAAGGAGUGACUUCCCCCUAACUCAUUUUAUGAAGCCAGCAUCAUCCUGAUAGCAGAAUCAGGAAGACAAACACACACACACUUCAGGCCAAUAUCCCUGAUGAACAUCGAUGCACAAAUCCUCAAUAAAAUACUAGCAAACUGAAUUCAGCAGCACAUCAAAACACUUAUCUACCACAAUCAAGUCAGCUUCAUCCCUGGGAUGCAAGACUGUUCCACAAUGCACAAAUAAAUAAACAUAAUCCAUCAACAUAAACAGAACCAAAGACAAAAACCAAGUGAUUAUCUCAAUAGGUGCAGAAAAGGCCUUUGAUAAAAUUCAACACCACUUCAUGUUAAAAACUCUCAAUAAACUAGGUAUUGAUGGAACAUAUCUCAAAAUAAUAAGAGCUAUUUAUGACAACCCUACAGCCAAUAUCACAGUCAAUGGGCAAAAGCUGGAAGCAUUGCCUUUGAAAACCAGUACAAGACAAGGAAGCCCUCUCUCACCACUUCUAUUCAACAUAGUAUUGGAAGUUCUGGCGAGGGCAAUCAGGCAAGAGGAAGAAAUAAAGGGUAUUCAUAUAGGAAGAGAGGAAGUCAAGUUGCCUCUGAUUGCAGAUGAUAUGCUGUUAUAUUUAGAAAACUCCAUAAUCUCAAUCCCAAAACCCCUUAAACUGAUAAGCAACUUCAGCAAAGUCUCAUGAUAUAAAAUCAAUGUCCAAAAAUCACAAGCAUUCCUUUACACCAACAAUAGACAAGUAGAGAGACAAAUAAUGAAUGAACUCCCAUUCACAAUUGCUAAAAAAAUGAAUAAAAUACCUAGAAAUACAGCUAACAAGGGAUGUGAAAGACCUCUUCAAGGAGAACUACAAACCACUCCUCAAGGAAAUAAGAGGACAUACACAAAUGGAAAAACAUUCCAUCCCCAUGGAUAGGAAAAAUCAAUACUAUAAAAAUAGCCAUAUUGCCCAAAGUAAUUUAUAGAUUCAGUGCUAUUCCCAUCAAAUUACCACUGACAUUCUUCACAGAAUUAGAAAAAUCUACUUUAAAUUUCAUACAGAACCAAAGAAGACCCCGUAUAGCCAAGAUGAUCCUGAGAAUCCUGAAAGUUUUCAUAGUUAUAAUAAUCUUCUAAUGAGUACAAGAUUAUCAUUUUUCUUCAUAUUUUCAGUUGGUGACCUAAUGAAAUAGGGUAUUUUUUCUCUUUUGACACACAAGUACUCUUCUGAUGGUCAAAAUAUUUAGUUAUUUAUCUCUCCUUGUUUCACUUCAAAGGAAACCAGAAUCAUGGCAUUCUGAAAGUUAGAGAUGCAAAUCUCCAUUAUUUGGCAUCCCACUGGACCCGAUCUGUUUUUCAUUGCAAACGUCCUGCUGCUAAGACUAUGCAAGGACCCUCCCUCUAGGCCCAGAGACUGUUGCAGAGGAGAUGGGUGCAUGAGAUUGUAAGGGCUGGUUUUGAGGGAUACAGUUAGCUCAGACACUCCAAAUCAAGGAGGGUACACAGGUGCCUAAACAGCUUGUAAAACAAAGAACUUUGCUUUCUCAGCUAUUAUGUGGCACCUUUUUAUCCACCUCAACCAUGAAAAAUGUCCUGCUUCCUGGAAUUAAAUCAAAAUAAUUAUUAAGAGUAUAAAGAUACCUCAUGACCAAGCCUCCUGGGCAUAAUACUCCCAGUUAUAAGUCUUGCAGAUAUAUAUAUAUAUAUAUGUAGAUAUAUAAAAUUAUUUUUUAGAAAAAUGUGUAUGUUUUGUAUAGUUAAUCACCGUAAGUCUGUAAUGAAAACCAAGAUUAUAGUAGCUUAAUGCAUAGAAGUGAAAGAAAAGUCAAUUUUUGUAAACUCGCCAUUGGCUUUUUGUUUUUGGCUCUUUACUUUAAAUAAAUCUUUUAAGAGGUAAUGAAUGCCUGUCCGAGUCCAUUCCUAUCUUUCCUAGAACACUUACUUGUCUAUAAGUAUUUUGACUUCAAGUCCCUCCACCAUAGGGAGUCUCAUUGAAGGACAGGAUGGACACAGGGCAGGCCGAUAUGCCACCCAAGCAGUGCUAGGGGAAAAAAAAUAAUAGCCAUUGAUGCUGAUGCUGGCAAAUAUUGGCCAUAAAGGGAAGAAUGUAAGCCAAAAAUAAAAUUCUAAGCACUUCAACCAUCUGAAUGUACCCCUCCUCUCGGCCAUAGGGAUUCCAGAUUGAAACUGAAAAUCUUGUUCAGGCCAUGAUGGAAGAGAGCAUUGGACAGGCUUCAUUAUAUUUCUCCAGCAUUAACAUCAACACAGACCUUAAGACAUCAACAUCAGAUCUAAGAGUCUGAUCAGAAAUAUUUAACAUCUAUUUUCUCUGAAGCCUGCUACCUGGAGGCUUUAUCUGCCUGAUAAUAUCUAGGUUUCUCCAACUCCUUAUCUUAACCCAGACAUUCCUUUCUACUGAUAAUAACUCUUUCAACCAAUUGCCAAUCAGAAAAUUUUAAAAUCUACCUAUAACCUGGAAGUCCCUACUUCGAGUUGUCCUGCCCUUGCAGACUGAAACAAUAUAUACCUUACAUGUAUUGACUGAUGUCUCAUGUCUCCCUAAAAUGUGUAAAACUAGGCUGUGUCCUGACCAUCUUGUGCAGAUGUUCUCAGGGUCUCCUGAGGGCUGUGUCAUGGCCCAUUGGUCACUUAUAUUUGGCUCAGAAUAA